GUAACCUGCCCUUAAGUGGGGGAUAACAUUUGGAAACAGAUGCUAAUACCGCAUAGAUCCAAGAACCGCAUGGUUCUUGGCUGAAAGAUGGCGUAAGCUAUCGCUUUUGGAUGGACCCGCGGCGUAUUAGCUAGUUGGUGAGGUAAUGGCUCACCAAGGCGAUGAUACGUAGCCGAACUGAGAGGUUGAUCGGCCACAUUGGGACUGAGACACGGCCCAAACUCCUACGGGAGGCAGCAGUAGGGAAUCUUCCACAAUGGACGCAAGUCUGAUGGAGCAACGCCGCGUGAGUGAAGAAGGCUUUCGGGUCGUAAAACUCUGUUGUUGGAGAAGAAUGGUCGGCAGAGUAACUGUUGUCGGCGUGACGGUAUCCAACCAGAAAGCCACGGCUAACUACGUGCCAGCAGCCGCGGUAAUACGUAGGUGGCAAGCGUUAUCCGGAUUUAUUGGGCGUAAAGCGAGCGCAGGCGGUUUUUUAAGUCUGAUGUGAAAGCCCUCGGCUUAACCGAGGAAGCGCAUCGGAAACUGGGAAACUUGAGUGCAGAAGAGGACAGUGGAACUCCAUGUGUAGCGGUGAAAUGCGUAGAUAUAUGGAAGAACACCAGUGGCGAAGGCGGCUGUCUGGUCUGUAACUGACGCUGAGGCUCGAAAGCAUGGGUAGCGAACAGGAUUAGAUACCCUGGUAGUCCAUGCCGUAAACGAUGAAUGCUAGGUGUUGGAGGGUUUCCGCCCUUCAGUGCCGCAGCUAACGCAUUAAG
rnacentral:rRNA from 1 species